AAAAAAAAAUUGCUCCCCCUCUGCGAUCUAUCCACAUGUGUGUGGUGGGGGAGGGGUUCUCUCCCUUUUGGGUAACUUAAACGUCUAUCGCUACCUUCAGUUUUUUUCUAUUAUUAUUUAACUAGGAGUUGGCAGGGCCAGGAGAGAGAUCAUUGGAUAUGCCAAAACCUGCAUCUACCUCGAUCCUGCUAACGUUGUUCACAAGACCCCAAAUUCUCCCACCGAAAUAGAAAACACGCCUAACCACUUCCACUGUCUCUCCCCCCCCCCUCGAAAAUAUCCCAGCCCCUCCAACACAUUCCCACGCAACUGCCCCCCGCCCCAACUCCGAUUCUGGCACCUGGAUCCUACUCAGUUUUGGCCCCACACCCUCCAAAUGGUAACGCUAAAGAACAAGUGUAGACGCUCCUCUUACACAAAAAAAACAAACAAAAAACCCACCUGGAUCCCAAUGCAUCCCACAGCGCCAGCGGCAUAAAUACGCAGAUGUGGGCCUAGGACCGGGCACUGUCAGUGUUUGGUCCUAGUCCCCCCAAAUGCGACCGCCCAAAGAGCAAGCAAGCAAUAGCGGUUCCUGCUGUACCUUGACUAUCCAGCCGAGGAUGAACCGCACCUCAGAUCCGGCAUGUGGAUCGUGCUGUAUUUUUGGCCACAGACCCACAAAGGCUACUAUCAGAACACAGAAUAAGCCAUGAUUCUACCAGUCUCCCCCGAGUAUCCCCCUGGCCCCAGCCCAUCCUCCUAACAGAGACAUGCAAACACUAAUUUGACACCUGUAUCUUGCUGGAUUCCGCUGAUAUUUGGCGGCAUACAUCACACCCAUUUUCCCGUCUACACGUAGUUCUGGCAGACUGGCAUUUUGCAGCUUGGGGCCAAAAACGGUAAGGAUCCAGUCUCGGGGGCGGAAUUGACCUGCUCUUACCGCCCUCUUGUUCCAGGAUGCAUGGCGGGUGGUGUUUUGCUCUUUGUUUAGGCAUUAUAAAUUGGGGGUCAAAGCCAAAAUUGGCACGAUCCAGCGUUUAACAGCACUGUUGGAGGAGUGCAUCGAGGCUGGGUGUUAUGGGGAGCAGCAGGAGCGGCUCGAUUCGGUCUCUAUUAUGAUGGUACAAUUUGAGGUCUUGGGUACAAAGAAUUGGCAGGAUCCAUGUUUUACCCAGCCGCCUUCGGGGCGCUCUCCUCCAGUGAGGUUUGAAGGUGGGGGACCCGGUGAAACCGACAGUGUCCGAAAAUCCCCAGGCGAGACCCAUCUUCUCUAAAAGUUCAAGGUGUCACUGAUGAGCUCGGCAAACUGUUGAUCCCGACCACGUGUAGCAGCCAGAGAAGCCGAACGGGGGAUUGCAAGAUGCUUGUAUUCAAAUGUUUGAAGAAAAGCACCACGUUAUUGUAACUGAAUAAUCAUCUAAGAAGAAACUCCAGGAGUGCUGAUCACUUAUCGUGGGAACCAUCUGGUUUCUUCCUAUAGUGAUCAAGAGCUAGUCAUUGAACAAAGUGGAACAUGCAGCAUUUCACUCUAUCAGGAAAAUACAUCGGACUCAACCUGAGGCCACUGAAAUGCUGAAUGCUGCAGGCACAGAAGAGAGAUAUUUAGCUUCAGAAUUCUGCCUUGAGAUUGCUGAGCUGCUCUGCUAUGGAAGAGCAUAUUCUCUGGUGACUCUUCUCCCGCCUCCCAGCUGCAAACCUUCUGGAAAUCAAAGGAGAUGCAGAGCACCGACAACACCAGAAACAGAUACUGUGUGAGCAGUGGCAACGCACAUUUUCCCCAUGCUACUCCAUCACUAUGUUUCAACCCUUGCCAGAGAGACCACCACUAGGGGGCGAGUGGCCCAGUUUUCAAGCCCAUUCAAUCUUCAGCCGCUCAGCUCAGAUUGCCGGUGAGGGUGAAAAUUGUGGUGAUGUUUUGUGGACAGCUGGACUGAAAUGACCAAAUUAAUUUCACAUGGGCUAUCUAACUGCCAUCACAUCAAAUGCUAUCCAUUGGCUGUCACUAAAGACUGAAAUCAAUAGGAGUCUUUUCACUGAUUUCAAUGGACUUUGAAUCAGACUGUAAGUUAUAAACCAGGUUCCGACACUGCAAUACAUACUCAUAUGAGUAACUUUAAUUCCCUGAGACUACUUGCAUACAGAAAGGUACUUACAUAGUAUGUACUUGCAGGAUCAAUCCCCUAGGCAGGAUUUGAAUGAGGCAUAAUGUGCCAUUAAUUUUUAGUCAGAAUUGAUUAAUGGGAAGCCUGUGAUGGGGAUUCUGAUUAAAAAAUAAUAGUAACAAAAAAAUCAAUGGCACAGUAUGCUCUAUGUUUGGAGAUUUAAAGGGAAAAAGCUAACAGACGAGACAAAGUCAAGUAUUGGCUGCUGCACUUCUAUACAGUGCCAUAGGUGUGCCUGGUGCUUUUCACUGAGAAUUAAGAUGUGGUCCCUCUCUCAGUCUAAACUGAGAAUGACAAAACAGGAUGCUGGCAAGGUGGAGGAAAGAACAGAGAAAGUUAUGCAGUUUCUUGGUUGGCACAAUAUACAUCAGAUUUUAAUUUAACAUUUAUAUUGCGGUGGUGUCCAGAGGACCCAGUUGGGAUUUUGGCCUUAUUCUAUGACAUGCUGAACCAGGACUGCCAGCCUCAAAAAAUCAAAAAUCAUGAGUCAGAACCCACCCAUCAUGAAAUUAAAAAAAACAUCAAAUCAUGUUUUUAGUCUGUUUUUGACUUUUAAAAUUCUCCCUACUCCUUUGCCAAUGUGGGUAUGAUAAUUUCAGGUUAAAAAUAUCAACUUUUAACGUACACAGAAGUUAAUGCUUCUCCCCUUUGCUCAUAUGGAGACUCAACUUACCCUCUCCUUGCCCCUAAAAUAGGAGAACUGCCAUCCAUGUCCCAUUACUGUCUUGACUCCCACCCCUCCUAGUUUAUUUCCUUUGAUAAGAGAAGAGCUGGAUGAUAAACAGUUUGAGAACCACUGGCCUAAUUAAUGCAUCAUGGAUUCACACUUGCAUAUAGAAUUGAUAUUACUUUUUGGGGUUGAUGAGUUACAGAUAUACAUGUUACAGAACUUUAAACUUAUAUCAAUAGUUCAUAUCAACAAUAAUGUCACGGUAAAAACAAUAAGGGAUUAGUUUAGUCUUUUGCAAGAAACAACACUUCACUCACUCUCUUCUCCUGCCUUCCCAACUGGGCAGCACUCCUUCGCCUUACCCCUGAGCUGUCUCCCUCUGCUCCCCUUCCCUUCUGCCCCCACAACCUUCAGCACCCCAUUCUUCUGCAACCCUUAAAUAUGCCUCCUGCUUCCCACAAUGCCUGGCUUCCCCUGCUCUCCCCAUCCAUCUUUCACAGUAACUCUGCUGCACCUAACAGUCCCUGUGUUCAGUCUAGUCCCCUGAAUGACUGUCAGCAUGUUGCCCAUGGGCAUGGCUUCAACCUAAUUGAAAAUAGUGGGAAAUGGCAGCCUCACUUCCACACAUAAUGAUACUGGAGGGAAAUGAUGGCCAUCUUGAUGGUGUCAGCCCCUUGACUGUAAAUGGAGAUGGUGGCCAUUUUAAAGAAGGGAAAAUUCAUGAUUUGGUGCCUUUCAUUGUGUUUUGAUGAGAUAAGUAAAAAACCACACCCCGAAAUCCCUAGAGUUGUGAGAAAAUGGUGAGAGUUGGCAAUAGGGUGUGCACACACACAGGACAACACAGACCUUUGCCCCAAAAUGUUCCUCUUUAUUUAAAAGAAACAAUGAAGAAUCCGGUGGCACCUUAAAGACUAACGGAUUUAUUUGGGCAUAAGCUUUCGUGGGUAAAAAAACCCCACUUCUUCAGAUGCAUGGAGCGAAAAUUACAGAUACAGGCAUAAAUAUACUGGUACAUGAAGAGAAGGGAGUUACCUUACAAGUGGAGAACCAAUGUAGAAAGCCAAUUCAGUCAGCGUGGAUGUGGUCUACUCCCAAUAAUUGAUGAGGAGGUGUCAAUAUCAAGAGAAUACCAGUGUGUCAAUACCUCUGUAUUUUAUAACUGCUGUAGAGGGUUAAAAUUAGGGUUGCCAUCUCCGAGGUACAAAAAACAGGACAUCUGAGAUGAUCCUGAGCCCAUAGAACUGGACAACUGGCACGGUGUAUUGAGCACCCUUACUGAUUUCCCAGGACAGCUACCUCAAAAAAGGGACACUCCUGGGAAAACCUGGAGAGGUGGCCACCCUAGUUAAAAUCUCAUACACUUCAUCUCCUUCCCACUAGCACUCACUAUAUAUAAUCUGUAUAGCCCAUGAUUACUAGUAAUAAUACCUAGCACUUACAUAGACCUUUAAUCUUCGAGGCACUUUACAAAGAUUAGCAAAUUAAUCCAUAAAAUGAAAAAGCUGUCAAACUGUUGUUGAACUGCAUUCUUUUAAUGGCAGGGCUGGCUCUAGGCACCAGCAAACCAAGCAUGUGCUUGGGGCAGCACAUUUUCAGGGGCGGCA